GCGCGCUCCAGGCCGGUCGCUCCACGCCCCCGGCUCCCGGGACUGUGGACUCCACGACCGUGUCCUCGGCCCUGUCCGCGCCGAAGCAGCCCGGGACUGCGCAGCGCCCCGCGUGCCGGUGAGCGACCCCGGACGUGCAGUCCCCAGGUCCCCUUCCGGAGCGAGGCUGAGCGGCUGCGCCGCGGCUUGAGCCGGGCCUGACAAGGAGGGGAGGCCGCUGGGGUGCUGGGCCCGCCGCAGACAUGGGAAAGUCUCUUUCUCAUUUGCCUUUGCAUUCAAGCAAAGAAGAUGCUUAUGAUGGAGUCACAUCUGAAAACAUGAGGAAUGGACUGGUUAAUAGUGAAGUCCAUAAUGAAGAUGGAAGAAAUGGAGAUGUCUCUCAGUUUCCAUAUGUGGAAUUUACAGGAAGAGAUAGUGUCACCUGCCCUACUUGUCAGGGAACAGGAAGAAUUCCUAGGGGAUGGAGUUUCCCCAUGUUUCCCAGGAUGAUGUCGAAUUCUUGGGCUCAAGCGAUCAUCCAGCCUUGGCCUCCCAAAUACAAUUACAGCUGUGAGCCACC
rnacentral:sRNA from 1 species